rnacentral:rRNA from 1 species
AAAGUUGAAAAGUACUUUGAAGAGAGAGUAAACAGUGCGUGAAACCGCUCAGAGGUAAACGGGUGGAGUUGAACUGUGAUCUCUGUGGAUUUAGCUGGUGAGCAUGGUUUGGGCUUGGUCAAAUUGGUUGAAGCCGGGAAUCUGCGUAGCAGCAGGUCCUCACCUUCUGGUGGGGGUGCGCGGUGCACUCAUCAAGUGUUGCGCGUUCCAUGUUUUUCGUGCCAGCUUGCCAGUGCACUUUCACAGAGUGGUCACCACGACCGGCAUUGCUGUCUGGCUGUUGUGGUUAAACCGGCCUUUCUUUGUCCUUGUGGCUUUGGAUUGUCGGGAUGGCAGGUAGCUCGCUAGCUUGGCUUGUGGCUCGCUGCAGGUUUUGGCUCUCGGGUGUAAUCAGCUGACCGCAUCGGUUCUGUGCAGUAUGUCGGAGAUGGCGGCUUGUGGUACAUGCGUGCGUGCUAGUUGGUUGGCGUGUCCGGGUUUGGUUGUCAUGUUGCUUGUGUAAACAGGCCUGGCGAUAGCUCGGAUUCGUUUGGCCGGCGGUUGCGUGCGUAGUGCUUUCCAGGGCCAACAGUCUGUGGUGUUGCGGUAGACGAUCCACCUGACCCGUCUUGAAACACGGACCAAGGAGAGUAACAUGUGCGCGAGUCAUUGGGCGUAACGAAACCCAAAGGCGAAGUGAAAGUAAAGGUCUGGCUUGUCCGGACUGAGGUGAGAUCCUGUCGUUUCUCACGCGCGGUAUUACCAAGC